AAGUCGACCGCCUGGGGAGUACGGCCGCAAGGUUAAAACUCAAAUGAAUUGACGGGGGCCCGCACAAGCGGUGGAGCAUGUGGUUUAAUUCGAUGCAACGCGAAGAACCUUACCUGGUCUUGACAUCCACGGAAGUUUUCAGAGAUGAGAAUGUGCCUUCGGGAACCGUGAGACAGGUGCUGCAUGGCUGUCGUCAGCUCGUGUUGUGAAAUGUUGGGUUAAGUCCCGCAACGAGCGCAACCCUUAUCCUUUGUUGCCAGCGGUCCGGCCGGGAACUCAAAGGAGACUGCCAGUGAUAAACUGGAGGAAGGUGGGGAUGACGUCAAGUCAUCAUGGCCCUUACGACCAGGGCUACACACGUGCUACAAUGGCGCAUACAAAGAGAAGCGACCUCGCGAGAGCAAGCGGACCUCAUAAAGUGCGUCGUAGUCCGGAUUGGAGUCUGCAACUCGACUCCAUGAAGUCGGAAUCGCUAGUAAUCGUGGAUCAGAAUGCCACGGUGAAUACGUUCCCGGGCCUUGUACACACCGCCCGUCACACCAUGGGAGUGGGUUGCAAAAGAAGUAGGUAGCUUAACCUUCGGGAGGGCGCUUACCACUUUGUGAUUCAUGACUGGGGUGAAGUCGUAACAAGGUAACCGUAGGGGAACCUGCGGUUGGAUCACCUCCUUA
rnacentral:rRNA from 1 species